rnacentral:rRNA from 1 species
CACGCAGGCGGUUUUUUAAGUCAGAUGUGAAAGGUACCGGCUCAACCGGUGACAUGCAUUUGAAACUGAAAGACUUGAGUAUUGGAGAGGCAAGUGGAGUUCCUAGUGUAGCGGUGAAAUGCGUAGAUAUUAGGAGGAACACCGGUGGCGAAGGCGGCUUGCUGGACAAAUACUGACGCUGAGGUGCGAAAGCGUGGGGAGCAAACA